rnacentral:rRNA from 1 species
GAUGAACGCUAGCGGGAGGCUUAAUACAUGCAAGUCGAGGGGUAACAGGGGCUUCGGCCCGCUGACGACCGGCGCACGGGUGAGUAACGCGUACGCAACUUACCUCCAAGCGAGGGAUAGCCCUGGGAAACUGGGAUUAAUACCUCAUGUGAUUAUGAUGCCGCAUGGUGUUAUAAUUAAAGUUCAGGCGCUUGGAGAUGGGCGUGCGUCCUAUUAGCUAGUUGGUGAGGUAACGGCUCACCAAGGCGACGAUAGGUAGGGGCGUGAGAGCGUGGCCCCCACCACGGUACGUNAGACACGACCGGACCUCUACCGGAGGGCGA